GGCGCAAGCCUGAUGCAGCGACGCCGCGUGAGGGAUGACGGCCCUCGGGUUGUAAACCUCUGUUAGCAUCGAAGAAGCGAAAGUGACGGUAGGUGCAGAGAAAGCGCCGGCUAACUACGUGCCAGCAGCCGCGGUAAUACGUAGGGCGCGAGCGUUGUCCGGAAUUAUUGGGCGUAAAGAGCUUGUAGGCGGUUGGUCGCGUCUGCUGUGAAAGGCUGGGGCUUAACCCUGGUUUUGCAGUGGGUACGGGCUAACUAGAGUGCAGUAGGGGAGACUGGAAUUCCUGGUGUAGCGGUGGAAUGCGCAGAUAUCAGGAGGAACACCGAUGGCGAAGGCAGGUCUCUGGGCCGUAACUGACGCUGAGAAGCGAAAGCAUGGGGAGCGAACAGGAUUAGAUACCCUGGUAGUCCAUGCCGUAAACGUUGGGCACUAGGUGUGGGGGACAUUCCACGUUUUCCGCGCCGUAGCUAACGCAUUAAGUGCCCGCCUGGGGAGUACGGCCGCAAGGCUAAAACUCAAAGAAAUUGACGGGGGCCCGCACAAGCGGCGGAGCAUGCGGAUUAAUUCGA
rnacentral:rRNA from 1 species